UACGUAGGGUGCGAGCGUUGUCCGGAAUUAUUGGGCGUAAAGGGCUCGUAGGCGGUUUGUCGCGUCGGGAGUGAAAAAUCCAGGGCUUAACUCUGGACUGGCUUCCGAUACGGGCAGACUAGAGGUAUGCAGGGGAGAACGGAAUUCCUGGUGUAGCGGUGAAAUGCGCAGAUAUCAGGAGGAACACCGGUGGCGAAGGCGGGUCUCUGGGCAGUAACUGACGCUGAGGAGCGAAAGCGUGGGGAGCGAACAGG
rnacentral:rRNA from 1 species